rnacentral:lncRNA from 1 species
UACUCCCCAACCCACCAGGCACUCUGUCCUGUGUCCUGGAUUUGGCGCUCACCUGAGUAGACUCCCUAGAUUUCUCUGGAAAAUAGGGAUCCUGAGGGUUGUAGGGCUGUCAGUUAAAAUGCUUGGUGGGAGGAAGGUAGGAGAAGUAGGGGGCCCCUCAGUGAAGUGGUCCAGAGUCGGGUGGCCUGUAUGAAAGAAGCGCCACAGGUCUCUCUCCCUUGGAUCUUUGUCUUGCUUCUUCUCUCCCCAAAUUUCUCCACUUUCCAUCUGUCCACCUGCAAACAUUUUUACUUGGCUUGAGUCUGAACUCUACACUUCCAGGGGGAUGCCAACAGAUGGAGUUACAUCUUGAGGAGAGGGAGCUGUCACGGGAGAAGCAGUUGGAGGAAAAUGCAGGACUUUCACCAAGAGUAAGAGCAUGAGAGGGCUGUCCUGAAGGAGGUCUCCACAUGCUUCAGAGCGCAGAGCCCCUUUGCAACAGGUAUCUGCUCUUGUGGCCCGAAGAAUCCUAAUUCACUCCCACGUUGUGCGGUUGGCCUUCGUUGCCUGCCCAUCUGGAAAACUCCUAAGUGUCAGAGUUCAGAGGAGGCUUAGAGACCACAGGCUCAUCCUGCAGUUGGUGAAACCGAGGUCCCAGGAGGGAGGAAGAAUGCCAAGGUCACAUGAACCGUGGACUGCAAAAUCCAGAGGCUCUCGCCAGCAAGGAUCUCAAAGCACAAAUCUCAGAAUCUCGGCGCUGUUAAGGGGCCUUGGAGACAUCUGGUCCAGCUACCUCUCUCCUGAGAUGGAAACACAGAAACAUAGAGCCUCAGAGUAGGAACAGAAAGUUGACUCUACUCCAGUCCAAUCUGACAGAAGAGGAAAUUGAAGCCCAGAGAAGGUGAGCAACUGGUGCAAGGUUGUACAGCAAGUUAGUUGAAGUGUUGAGACCAGAACACUGGUCCUGGCCUCACAGGCUGAGACUUGGCCUCUCUGUGGAGGCCUGGAGGAGAUGGGAGAAGACAUUGGAGGAAACAUUUGGACCAAAGCAAGGAUUUUCCAGAGAACUGUUUUUGAAAAAUCAAACCAAGAAGAAAAAUGAGAACGGGUACUGGCUUCCCUUUAUUUUCUGCCUUGUCUUCCUCUGGGCACUCACUCUCUGCAGCUCUCAGCCGGCCUCCAGCUCUGCUCACAAGCUGCUUCCAGCCGCCCACGGGCUUCCUAAAAUGGUCUCUGCAAGCUAAUUCCAGAGGGUGAAUGGCAGAGAGCAGGCCUUGGGGGCGGGGUGCGUUUCCUCAGCCGAGCGCAGGCACAGGGCGUCUCCCAUGCACAGAGCUGCCUGCCCCCAAUCCCAGUGCCCUCUCCAGGUGCUUCAGCCCCAUCCUGCCCUGGGGGGGGUGUGGGGUCCAGCUCCCACCUCUCACUGCCUCCUCCUCAGAAUAGGUUAUUUAUUUUUCCUUCUUAAAAAAUUAACUUUUACAAUUAUGUAAUAAUACAUAUUUAUCAUGAAACAAUCAGGAAAGUGUAAAGAAGAAAAUUAAGAUCACCUGUAAUCAACC